GACGAACGCUGGCGGCGUGCCUAAUACAUGCAAGUCGAACGAACCGCGACUAGGUGCUUGCACUUGGUCAAGGUGAGUGGCGAACGGGUGAGUAACACGUGGGUAACCUACCUCAUAGUGGGGGAUAACAGUCGGAAACGACUGCUAAUACCGCAUAGGACAUAGGAUCACAUGAUCCAGUGAGGAAAGGUGGCGCAAGCUAGCGCUAAGAGAUGGACCCGCGGUGCAUUAGCUAGUUGGUAGGGUAAAGGCCUACCAAGGCGAUGAUGCAUAGCCGACCUGAGAGGGUGAUCGGCCACAUUGGGACUGAGACACGGCCCAAACUCCUACGGGAGGCAGCAGUAGGGAAUCUUCCGCAAUGGACGCAAGUCUGACGGAGCAACGCCGCGUGAGUGAAGAAGGUCUUCGGAUCGUAAAGCUCUGUUGUUAGAGAAGAACAGCGCAUAGAGUAACUGUUAUGCGUGUGACGGUAUCUAACCAGAAAGCCACGGCUAACUACGUG
rnacentral:rRNA from 1 species